GACAAAGAAAUCGCAGGCGUCUCGAAAACAUUGAUGAGAUGCCGGAUGUUUCCUUUCAAGAAAGGUUUCGCCUGGACAAACCAACGUUCAGAGAACUUUGUGGAGACCUAAGGGCUCGUACAAAUCUGCGUGGUACAAAUGCCAUUCCCAUUGAAGUUAAGAUAUUAUGUGCCCUAAGUUUUCUGGCUACAGGGUCCUACCAGAGAAUUGUUGGUGUCACCCAGCAUCUGCCACAGCGCACAGCCAGUAGAUGCAUCCGGCAAGUUGUUGAGGCACUGAACCACCCCAGUAUCACAAACAAGUGGAUAGUGUUCCCGCUAACACGACAAGAAAGAGUGAAAAUAAAACAAGAAUCUGUGACAGCAAUUUAAAAAUAAUGAAUGUAAAUUCAAAGUUUGGUGGAGCAACACAUGACUCGCACAUAUGGGCUGCAGGUCAAGCAGAACCAUACAUGCGUGAAUUGCAUAGAAAUGGAGAACAAGUUUGGCUAUUAGGUGACUCCGGAUAUGCCCAGAGAGCCUGGCUCAUGACGCCUAUACUCAAUGCUGCAGAAGGUUCGCGAGAAGCGGAAUACACAAGGCGGCACAUCCAAGCGAGAAAUUGCAUAGAAAGAUGCUUUGGUGUCCUUAAAUCACGGUGGAGAUGUUUACUACGUGAUAGAACGCUCCAUUAUCACCCUUAUGUCGCCAGCAGAAUCACAACUGCAUGUGCUGUACUGCACAAUAUUGCAUUACAUGCCCGCAUGCCCGAACCUGACGAGCUUCCACCAGCCAACGAUGAUGAUUUUGUGCAAAUAAAUAAUAUUCAAAAUCAUAAUGAUUUAAUCCAGGGCAGAGCCAUGCUAAAUAUUUUAGUUAAUAGAUUGUAGUUUGUUAAACAUUAUGACAGUUUGGUUUUUAUGUAAUUAGUUAGGUUAAUUGGUAAUAAUAUAAUUAGGUUAGAUAAGUAAAAACUAGGAUAAUAUCUGGAUAUUCUGUUUAAUCAUAUUUUUGAAAUACUAAAUAAACACUGAUCCAUCAUACAAUAAAGUCUUUCAAAUAAUCAACCUUAAUAAAAUAAAUGUUAUUUUGAUGAAAUACUGAUAAAUACUAGGGUUUUCACAUAACCAUGCAAAAAAACAAGUCAUAUUCAGUGUUCUAAUCAACAUUAUCCACAGAAAAUCUAACGAUAGUCUUUAUGUUUAUUAUUAAAACUUCUAUCACACAUAUUAAUUAAAACAUAAAAUAAAUCAAACAAAACAUUAAUUAUUAUUAAAACUUCUAUCACACAUAUUAAUUAAAACAUAAAAU